CGCCUCUUGCUAAAAAAGUAUAAGAGGUCCCGCCUGCCCUGUGACAAAAAGUUUAACGGCCGCGGUAUCUUAACCGUGCGAAGGUAGCGCAAUCACUUGUUUCUUAAAUGGAGACCUGUAUGAAUGGCAUUACGAGGGCCAAGCUGUCUCCUUCUCCUGGUCAAUGAAAUUGAUCUUCCCGUGCAGAAGCGGGAAUAAGAACAUAAGACGAGAAGACCCUUUGGAGCUUAAGACUGCAAGUAGACCCUGAUAAUAAGACCAAGUAAAAAGAACUAAACCAACUGGGCCCCCUACUCCUAAUGUCUUUGGUUGGGGCGACCGCGGGGAAACAAAAAACCCCCAUGUGGAAUGGAAGGACCCUCCUUCCAGAACCAAGACCGACAGGUCUAAGUAACAGAAAUUCUGACCAAAAAGAUCCGGCAAAGCCGAUCAACGAACCGAGUUACCCUAGGGAUAACAGCGCAAUCCCCUUUUAGAGCCCAUAUCGACAAGGGGGUUUACGACCUCGAUGUUGGAUCAGGACAUCCUAAUGGUGCAGCCGCUAUUAAGGGUUCGUUUGUUCAACGAUUAAAGUCCU
rnacentral:rRNA from 1 species